GGUUAAGUGACUAAGCGUACACGGUGGAUGCCUUGGCAGUCAGAGGCGAUGAAAGACGUAGUAACUUGCGAUAAGCCCAGAUUAGGUAGUAACAACCAUUUGAGUCUGGGAUUUCUGAAUGGGGAAACCCACGUGCAUAAGCACGUAUCCUUACCUGAAUACAUAGGGUAAGGAGGCGAACCGGGGGAACUGAAACAUCUAAGUACCCCGAGGAAAAGAAAUCAACCGAGAUUCCGAAAGUAGCGGCGAGCGAAAUUGGACUAGCCCUUAAGCUUUACACGCGUUAGACGAACGGUCUGGAAAGUCCGACGAUACAGGGUGAUAGUCCCGUAGUUGACGACGUGUGUUCAGUGAAAUCGAGUAGGGCGGGACACGUGAUAUCCUGUCUGAAUAUGGGGGGACCAUCCUCCAAGGCUAAAUACUACUGACUGACCGAUAGUGAACCAGUACCGUGAGGGAAAGGCGAAAAGAACCCCUGUGAGGGGAGUGAAAUAGAACCUGAAACCGUGUACGUACAAGCAGUAGGAGCAGGCUUUGUCCUGUGACUGCGUACCUUUUGUAUAAUGGGUCAGCGACUUAUAUUCAGUGGCAAGGUUAACCAUCUAGGGGAGCCGUAGGGAAACCGAGUCUUAACUGGGCGUUCAGUCUCUGGAUAUAGACCCGAAACCAGGUGAUCUAGCCAUGGGCAGGUUGAAGGUUGAGUAACAUCAACUGGAGGACCGAACCGACUAAUGUUGAAAAAUUAGCGGAUGACUUGUGGCUAGGGGUGAAAGGCCAAUCAAACCUGGAGAUAGCUGGUUCUCCCCGAAAGCUAUUUAGGUAGCGCCUCGGACGAAUACUACUGGGGGUAGAGCACUGUUAAGGCUAGGGGGUCAUCCCGACUUACCAACCCUUUGCAAACUCCGAAUACCAGUAAGUACUAUCCGGGAGACACACGGCGGGUGCUAACGUCCGUCGUGGAGAGGGAAACAACCCAGACCGCCAGCUAAGGUCCCAAAUUACUACUAAGUGGGAAACGAUGUGGGAAGGCUCAGACAGCCAGGAUGUUGGCUUAGAAGCAGCCAUCAUUUAAAGAAAGCGUAAUAGCUCACUGGUCGAGUCGGCCUGCGCGGAAGAUGUAACGGGGCUAAGUAGUAAACCGAAGCUGCGGCAAUGUGCUUUUGCACAUUGGGUAGGGGAGCGUUCUGUAAGCGGUUGAAGGUGUGUGGUAACGCAUGCUGGACGUAUCAGAAGUGCGAAUGCUGACAUGAGUAACGAUAAAGGGGGUGAAAAACCUCCUCGCCGGAAGACCAAGGGUUCCUGUCCAACGUUAAUCGGGGCAGGGUAAGUCGACCCCUAAGGCGAGGCCGAAAGGCGUAGUCGAUGGGAAACGGGUUAAUAUUCCCGUACUUCUUACAAUUGCGAUGGGGGGACGGAGAAGGCUAGGUGGGCCUGGCGACGGUUGUCCAGGUUCAAGUGCGUAGGCUUAAGAGUUAGGUAAAUCCGGCUCUUUCUAAGGCUGAGACACGACGUCGAGCCACUACGGUGGUGAAGUCAUUGAUGCCAUGCUUCCAGGAAAAGCCUCUAAGCUUCAGAUUGUAAGGAAUCGUACCCCAAACCGACACAGGUGGUCGGGUAGAGAAUACCAAGGCGCUUGAGAGAACUCGGGUGAAGGAACUAGGCAAAAUGGUACCGUAACUUCGGGAGAAGGUACGCUCUCGACGGUGAAGUCCCUCGCGGAUGGAGCUAUUGAGAGUCGCAGAUACCAGGUGGCUGCAACUGUUUAUUAAAAACACAGCACUGUGCAAAAUCGUAAGAUGACGUAUACGGUGUGACGCCUGCCCGGUGCCGGAAGGUUAAUUGAUGGGGUUAGACUUCGGUCGAAGCUCUUGAUCGAAGCCCCGGUAAACGGCGGCCGUAACUAUAACGGUCCUAAGGUAGCGAAAUUCCUUGUCGGGUAAGUUCCGACCUGCACGAAUGGCGUAAUGAUGGCCACGCUGUCUCCACCCGAGACUCAGUGAAAUUGAAAUCGCUGUGAAGAUGCAGUGUACCCGCGGCUAGACGGAAAGACCCCGUGAACCUUUACUACAGCUUGGCACUGAACAUUGACCCUACAUGUGUAGGAUAGGUGGGAGGCUUUGAAGCACGUACGCCAGUAUGUGUGGAGCCGUCCUUGAAAUACCACCCUUGUAGUGUUGAUGUUCUAACGUCGACCCCUUAUCGGGGUUGCGGACAGUGCCUGGUGGGUAGUUUGACUGGGGCGGUCUCCUCCCAAAGAGUAACGGAGGAGCACGAAGGUGGGCUAAUCACGGUUGGACAUCGUGAGGUUAGUGCAAUGGCAUAAGCCCGCUUGACUGCGAGAAUGACAAUUCGAGCAGGUGCGAAAGCAGGUCAUAGUGAUCCGGUGGUUCUGAAUGGAAGGGCCAUCGCUCAACGGAUAAAAGGUACUCCGGGGAUAACAGGCUGAUACCGCCCAAGAGUUCAUAUCGACGGCGGUGUUUGGCACCUCGAUGUCGGCUCAUCACAUCCUGGGGCUGAAGUCGGUCCCAAGGGUAUGGCUGUUCGCCAUUUAAAGUGGUACGCGAGCUGGGUUUAGAACGUCGUGAGACAGUUCGGUCCCUAUCUGCCGUGGGCGUUGGAAGAUUGAAGGGGGCUGCUCCUAGUACGAGAGGACCGGAGUGGACGAACCUCUGGUGUUCGGGUUGUGUCGCCAGACGCAUUGCCCGGUAGCUAAGUUCGGAAUCGAUAACCGCUGAAAGCAUCUAAGCGGGAAGCGAGCCCUGAGAUGAGUCUUCCCUGAUACUUUAAGUAUCCUAAAGGGUUGUCGGAGACUACGACGUUGAUAGGUCAGGUGUGUAAGUGCUGUGAGGCAUUGAGCUAACUGAUACUAAUUGCCCGUGAGGCUUAACCAU
rnacentral:rRNA from 1 species